UCCGGUGUGGUGUAAUGACUAACAUUAUCGCCUCUCACGCGAUAGCUCGGGGUUAGAUUCCCCGCACCGGAA